CUAAGGCUCCAGAGGAAGCCACGGCUAACUCUGUGCCAGCAGCCGCGGUAAUACAGAGGCGGCAAGCGUUGUUCGGAAUUAUUGGGCGUAAAGAGCGCGUAGGCGGCCUUGCAAGUCAGUUGUGAAAGCCUUCCGCUUAACGGAAGAAUGCCAGCUGAUACUACAGGGCUUGAGUACGGGAGGGGAGAGUGGAACUUCUGGUGGAGCGGUGAAAUGCGUAGAUAUCAGAAGGAACGCCGGCGGCGAAAGCGACUCUCUGGCCCGAAACUGACGCUGAGUGUGCGAAAGCUAGGGGAGCAAACGGGAUUAGAUACCCCGGUAGUCCUAGCCGUAAA
rnacentral:rRNA from 1 species